rnacentral:rRNA from 1 species
AGCGAACGCUGGCGGCAGGCCUAACACAUGCAAGUCGAACGAACUCUUCGGAGUUAGUGGCGGACGGGUGAGUAACACGUGGGAACGUGCCUUUAGGUUCGGAAUAACUCAGGGAAACUUGUGCUAAUACCGAAUGUGCCCUUCGGGGGAAAGAUUUAUCGCCUUUAGAGCGGCCCGCGUCUGAUUAGCUAGUUGGUGAGGUAAAGGCUCACCAAGGCGACGAUCAGUAGCUGGUCUGGGAGGAUGAUCAGCCACAUUGGGACUGAGACACGGCCCAAACUCCUACGGGAGGCAGCAGUGGGGAAUCUUGCGCAAUGGGCGAAAGCCUGACGCAGCCAUGCCGCGUGAAUGAUGAAGGUCUUAGGAUUGUAAAAUUCUUUCACCGGGGACGAUAAUGACGGUACCCGGAGAAGAAGCCCCGGCUAACUUCGUG